UUAGUGGAAAAAAUUAGUUUUGUUUAUAAAGAGUGUUCGUGUAUCAUCCAAAUUGUGCAAUAAUGAAAAAAAUAGUGUUGUUUAUAAUGUUCUUAGAUCACCCAAUUUUUUCAUAAGACUAAGUGCAUACAAUAAAUUUUUGAAGAACAUAUGUGCAACGAAGUUUACUGGAAAAAAAUAAUGUUGUUUAUAAAGAGUGUUCUUAGAUAACCCAAAUUGCGGAUGAUGCAUGUUUAUCAAGAGCUUUGUCACGAGUCCCUCAAAGAUUGUCAUUUUUCAGUCCAUUAAAGUUGCUUUAACUAAUUUGCCUCCACUAUUGUAAUGCUCAAGCUUUUGAAGACCGGACUCCAACAACCUGUGAUUAGUGAUCAAUGAUCUUACAAGGAUGAUGAUGUUCAAAAGGCACAAGUUGUGAAGGAUACCUUAUUGGACGAUAAUUGGUGGAAAAAGGUUGAUUAUACACUUUCGUUCACCUGUCCUAUUUAUGUUCUUAGAAGAACUAACACAGAAGCUUCAUGUCUUCAUCUAGUCUAUGAAAUGUGGGAUUCAAUGAUUGAAGAUGUCAGGAAGGCCAAAUAUAAGCAUAAAAGAAUAUCAAAUAUUGAAGAAUCAACAUUUCAUCAGGUGGUGCAUGCUAUAUUAAUUGACCACUGGACUAAGAGUAGCACACCUCUCCAUUGCCUACCUCAUUCUUUAGAUCCAAGGUUUAUAGUUCAUAAUGGCUAAAUGAAAAUAGUAAUAGUGUCCCUCGACAUUGAGCUCAUUUAGCAUAGAGAAAAAUGUUUUAGAAGUUUGUCUCCUGAUGUAAAUGAAAGGAGGAAAGUGAACAUAGAGUUUGCAAAGUUCUUAGAUGGAAAAAUAAGGUUUUGACAAUCUUGGUUCUCUUGUUGAUAGAGGAAAGAUGGAUCCAAAAGCAUUGUGGUUGGUUCAUGGUGCUCGAGCUCCAUUACUUCAAAAGGUUACACUUAAGCUACUUGCAUAGCCUUGUUCAUCUUCAUGUUGUGAAUGAAAUUAGAGCAAUUAUCCAUUCUUUGAAGAGAAACAAGAUGGCACCACAUAGAGAAGAAGCUUUAGUAUAUGAGCAAUUAUCCAUUUUAGUUUCCUCUUUAGUAAAUGUGGGAUGUCGCUGGAGAUGAGUUUGUAUGAUAGUAAAUUUCUUGAAGUUGCUGACUUGUUUUUAGAUUUUA